rnacentral:tRNA from 1 species
ACUAUUUUGGCAGAUUAAUGCAAUAAAUUUAGAAUUUAUUUAUGUAAAUAUUUUACAAAUAGUA